rnacentral:rRNA from 1 species
UACGCAGGGGACAAGCAUUGUCCGGAAUCAUUGGGUUUAAAGGGUGCGUAGGCGGGAUUGUAAGUCAGUGGUGAAAUUUCCGGGCUUAACCUGGGCGCUGCCAUUGAUACUGCAGUUCUUGAGUAUAGUUGAUGUUGGCGGAAUGUGUCAUGUAGCGGUGAAAUGCAUAGAUAUGACACAGAACACCGAUAGAGAAGGCAGCUGACAAAACUAUAACUAACGCUGAUGCACGAAAGCGAGGGGAGCAAAC